CUGGGGGCUUCCCAGCCACAGGCCAUUCACGUCAACCUCCAGGCAUCCUCCGCGGCGGGCCGGACCGGGCCGGCGGAGGGGAGCGGAAGCCCACCGGGGCUGGCCCGCCGCUGACCCGCCGCCUCCGUCUGCCUCCUCCCGGGCUCUGGGCCCAGCGCGCCCAGAUGCCGGGCAGGACCCCUCCGCCCGCUGCUGGAACACCAAUAGCAGCGUUGGAGCCUCUGGGCCGGAGGAACUGGGGCCUCCACCGACACCUGCUUCUUCCCUCACCUCGCAGCCUUCCACACCUGUUGAUCUGACCUCUGCCCCGCUGCCGCCCAGGAGUAACCUAAGGCUUUUGGCCUGAUUCGAGCUCACUCCGUCUAAACCUCUAAAUGCGGUGCGAAAAAAUCCUGGGGAAUGUGCCAUGCAAAGCCUGGGCAUUUCAAGUGCUUUUCUGGAUUCGCAUCAACUCCUCUUUACAGGCAUCUUUAUCCGGAAUUCAGCUCGUCCCAAACCCCACGUGGUGUAGCUCUGCUUGUGUUUUUGAAUCCCGGGGCCUCUUUGAAUCAGAAGCCCUUUGUAUAGAGAUAAGUAUCCUUUAGGCCAGAAUCAGCCUCCAUUUUUUUCGCAGUCCCAUUUCCUACCCGUAAUACUUUCUUCUGAUUUUAAAGCCAUUUGAUAGAGAAGGGACAGGGAACAGAACCUUCGCCCCCCGCCUGAGCAGCUGGUAGACUAGAUAUCUUCCAAACAUUAUCUCAUUUACUUCCCUGGAGUUACAAAUAGGUAGAUUUCAUGUCCGUUGAGGGGUGAGAAAGCUGAAACUUUGAGACUUAAGAAUCCUGGCCGAGGUCAGCCUCCUCCGAAGCUUCAUCUCUUGCCACCACUUUCUGGUGCACACCUAGGACAGAUUUCAAUCCCUGAGAUCCCAGGAUGAAACCUAUGUUUGCCAAAUACCAGCUACUGUGCCAGAAGAGAUCAUGGAACCAGGUGUGGAAAGCUGCUUGAGAAGAGGAGCCAAAACAUCAUAGUUGAACCGUCCUGGAAUAGAAGUGAGUAAGGUGAACCAGGUGUGGUGGCUCAUGCCUGUAAUCCUAGCACUUUGGGAGACCGAGGUGGGAGGAUUGCUUGAGGCCUGGAGUUCAGGAACAUCCUGGGCAACAUAGCAAGAUCCUGUCUCUACAAAAAAUCCAAAGUUUUUUUAAAUUAAAAAAAAAAAGUGAGUAAGGCAGCUUGAACCGGAAAUGCACAAAACUGCUAUCCAGUUUGCAAGGCUUUUCCCAAUGACUUUGAGGGAUGGAACCUGAAGGAAGCGGGAGGAGGCAAAUAGGGAGGAAAGUGAAAUGAUUUAUAAAUGACUUGCUAAUUUUGUCCAAAGGGAGUAAUGAUAAUUAGGGCAUUCUUCCCACACGAAGAUGACACAAUUGACCCAAUAUCAUUGAGGCUAACAGUUUGGGCUGUUUUUCCAGUAGUAUGACAGUGACGGUGUGUCAACCGCAGGACCUCACCCACAUUUCUUUGGGACCUAGGAGUGUGGGAAAUAGCAGCCAGAUUUGAGGUACAAAUCAUGGUGUCCAGCCUGCAAAGCCUUUUUGCAGCAAUCUAAGCCUGACUGCUCCUGUUGUAUGCUCAAAGUCAUUUUAAUCUACUUUAGCUUAUUGUAAAAUGUUCAAGAAUUGUAUUUUGUCUUGAAAACCAUGAAUUUUAUUGUUUAGGGGGAGUUAUUUUUUAAGGAGUGCAGGAUUUCAGUUUUGGAUGAUGAAAAAGUUUUGAAGAUGGGUAGUGACAGUGGUCACACAACAUUGUAAAUGUACUUAAUGCCAUUGUACACUUACGUGACUUUAAAGUAAACAUGAAAUUUUCUACAUUUGUUUGUUUGAUCAACUGUUAUCCUCCCUAAGGUACUUGAAGUUCUUUCUGACAUUGCCACUGGAACUUACUAUUUAAAUAUUGUUGGUCCUCUUGGAUUCCAUCAGUACUCCAGAGACUUCCUUCGUUUCUAAUUUAACUCAUUGUGUAAGAAUACGUAAUGCUGUUGUUAGCACUAGGGAAUGUAUCUGAGUCUCAUGCACCAAAGUGUGUUAGCAGCAGCAAAUCUGUAUGGGUCUGCAGCAACCUCAAUUCUUGCCUCCUCCAAAGAAAGAAUUCUACCGAGAGGCAUAAGGCAGAGGGAGAGGCCAAGGCACGUUUUAGAGCAGGAGUGAAAGUUAGAGCAAGAAUGAAACGAAGUAAUGUACACUUGGAAGAGGGCCAGGCGGGCAACUUGAGAGAUUCAAGUGCGCUGCUUGACCUUUGACUUGGGGUUUUAUACAUUGGCAUGCUUCCAGGGGGUUGUGUCCCUUUUCCCCUGAUUCUUCCCUUGAGGUGGGCUGUCUGCAUGUGCAGUGGCCUGCCAGCACUUGGGAGGGACCACAUGCUCAGUGUGUUAACUGAGGUUGUACGCAUGCUCACUUGAGGCAUUCUUCGCUUACUAGUCAAGUGUUCCUAGAAGAAGGUCAUAUAUGAGUACCAGUUAAAUGCCACCAUUUUGCCUCUUAGUUCACACCUGUGAGCCCACUCAGCCAACUCCUAAGAUCCUAUCCAGAAGCUGCUGAUCACCAGUUGUAGGUAUUUUCUAGCCAUUGGGAGACUGCCUUUCCCUGGUGCCGGCUGUGACCAGUUAUUAUUUUAGAGAGACAGUUUAACAACUGCCUGACCACCUGAUGGUUGCGUGACAUUCCUGGUGGGAGCGGGGAGCCCUCUCCUGCUCUGCUUGUGUCUGACUACCUACUGUGGCACUAUAGAAUCAAAUGAGAAAAACUUAAAAUUUGGGACAAUUUUAACAGCUUUAUUGAAGUAUAUUGAUAUAACAAAGUAUAUUUAAAGUGUUCAGUUUGAUACACACAUAUACACAUAGAUACACCUAUUUAAAAACCCAUCACCACAACAGACAAAGGACAUAUUCAUCAUACCCAAAAGUUUCCUCAUGUAGCCCCUCCCUCCCAGUCUUCCUUACCUCUCCACCCCACCAGGCAACCCCUGAUAUGCUUUAUGUAACUAUACAUUAAUUUGUAUUUCCUAGAAUUUUAUAUAAUUGGAAUCACACAUUGUAUAUUCUGUUUUAUCUGGCUUCUUUCACUCAGCAAAAUUAUUACGAGAUUCACUGACGUUGUAGCAUGUAUCAUUAGUUCAUUCCUUUUAUUACUGAGUAGUAUUCAACUGUAGGGAUACACCAGUGAUUUUACCCAUUCCCUUAUUGAUGAACAUUUUGGUUGUUUCUAGAUUUUGGCUAUUGCAAAUAAAGCUGCUAUGAACAUUCAUGUACAAGUCUUUGUAUGGACAUAUGCUUUAAUUUCUCUCCCAUAAAUACCUAUAAAUGGAAUGGCUGGAUCAAGUGAAAGAUGUAUAUUUCACUUUUUAAGAAACUGCAAACUUUUUCCAAAAUGAUUGUACCAUUUUACAUUCCCACCAGUGCGUAUGAGAGUUCCAGUUCCUCUGCUUCCUCACCAACAGUUGGUAGGUCAGUUUUUUUAAAUUUAGUCAUUCUUAUAGAUGUGGAGUAUGGUAUCUCAUUAUGGUUUUAAUUUGAAUUCCCUUAAUACGUAAUGAUGUUGGGCUUCUUUUCAUGUAUUUAUUUGCCAUCUGUGUAUCUUUUUCAUGAAAUGUUUGUUCAGAUCUUUUGCCUAUUUUUAUUGGAUUGUGUGUUUUCUUAUUAUGGUAUUUAACUUGUCACUGUUAGGAUACAUUUCAAAAAUCCUGACCAAGUUCUAACAGUAGAAUGUGUCAGUAAAUGCUCAGUUUAAGUAAAAUGUCACAUUGCAAACUAACUACCAGGGUGUGGCCCAGCAAUCUUAAGUACUUUCCCUGGAAGUUUCUGUAAUAUGCAGAACACUUUCAAUUGAAAUAAAUGCUGUUAAGGAGGUCAACUCAACCUUUCCAAAUUUUUAUUAAUUAAAAGCAGUUGUUGGAGAGUUGUAGAAAAGUAUUUUUUCACAGAGGCAAAUUUGUGGGUCAUAUUGCCAUACAUCUUGCCACGAAAAUAAUAACAUAAAGUGUUUUGAAGAAUUCACCCUGUAAAUCUGUCAGAGGCAUGUGAACCAAAGCAACUCCAUCUUGAAUAGGGGCUAGGUAAAAUAAGGCUGAGACCUGCUAGGCUGCAUUCCCAGACGGUUAAGGCAUUCUAAGUCACAGAAUGAGUUAGGAGGUCAGCACAAGGUACAGGUCAUAAAGACUUUGCUGAUAAAACAGGUUUCAGUAAAGAAGCCAGCCAAAACCCACCAAAACCAAAAUGGCGGCAAGAAUGACCUCUGGUCGUCCUCACUGCUACACUCCCACCAGCGCCAUGACAGUUUGCAAAUGCCAUGGCAACAUCAGGAAGUUGCCCUAUAUGAUCUAAAAAAAGGAGGCAUGAAUAAGCCACCCCUUGUUUAGCGUAUCAUCAAG
rnacentral:lncRNA from 1 species